rnacentral:rRNA from 1 species
UUGGUGCCUUCGGGAACUGUGAGACAGGUGCUGCAUGGCUGUCGUCAGCUCGUGUUGUGAAAUGUUGGGUUAAGUCCCGCAACGAGCGCAACCCUUAUCCUUUGUUGCCAGCGGUUAGGCCGGGAACUCAAAGGAGACUGCCAGUGAUAAACUGGAGGAAGGUGGGGAUGACGUCAAGUCAUCAUGGCCCUUACGACCAGGGCUACACACGUGCUACAAUGGC